rnacentral:rRNA from 1 species
UGCACUGGUAUUAUUGAUUUCUACCUUCUGACGAAUCAUGAUGUCAUUAAUUUGGUGUCAUGGGGAAUCAGGACUGUUACUUUGAAAAAAUUAGAGUGUUUAAAGCAGGCACACGCUUGAAUACAUUAGCAUGGAAUAAUGAAAUAGGACGUUUGACCCUAUUUUGUUGGUUUCUAGGAUCGACGUAAUGAUUAAUAGGGAUAGUUGGGGGCAUUAGUAUUCAAUUGUCAGAGGUGAAAUUCUUGGAUUUAUUGAAGACUAACUACUGCGAAAGCAUUUGCCAAGGAUGUUUUCAUUAAUCAAGAACGAAAGUUAGGGGAUCGAAGACGAUCAGAUACCGUCGUAGUCUUAACCAUAAACUAUGCCGACUAGGGAUCGGAUGAUGUUAAUUUUUUAAUGACUCAUUCGGCGCCUUACG